rnacentral:lncRNA from 13 species
GUUUCCGAGCAGCUGCUCCCUAGAGCUGUUCGCGAGCUGGUCAGCCAGCACGUAUUUCACCAACGACACUGGGUGCUAGGCCCUGCACUCAGCCCUUUCGUCCUCCCCGGGGCUGAGCCGAGGGUGCCCCAACACUGGUCCGAGCGAGCCUGGAGACACAGCGCGGGGGCUGCGCUCUCCGGCCUGGUCGCUUUCCACUCACGCCUCGCUUAGUAGCUGCCGCCCCGCCCGGCUCUGCCCAUGGGCGCCCCCUGGCUGCAGGAGGCAGAGCGCACACCACGCCCUCGGGGCUCGGUCCCAGCUCUUUCACGCGCCUCGCGCCGCUCCGCCCGCACCCCCAGCUCGCGCUGCGGCGGCCAACCUCAGCCCCGGAGACCGUCCGAAGGUCUCUCGAGCUUUCAGUGACCAGCCAGGGCGCGCGGCUGGCUAGAGCCGUUCCCCAGCAGCAGGCCUGGCUCUCCCUGAUCAGCGAGCGCGGAUACCGGGUCACCUCCCUCCCUCUGCCGGACUCCAGCCCGACGCCAGGCCUCUGGGGGCAAGCGCUGUGCUUCAGAAGAGUUGCUGCAGCAGGAGUGCUGGCUUCCUGCAACUUUCUCCUGGAGAUCAGAGCACAAGACCAUGAAUCAGCUUCUGCGUCGGAGUCACAGAUGCCCAUGUUUUUCCACACAGUCUCAUUCUCUGAAGCAUGAAGAGCAUCUGUGCCACAGUAUGUCUUGAAGAAUGCCCUACUGUGGUUUCUAGGUUUUCUGCCAUGCUGCAGACACAUGCUACAAACUUUGAUAUGUUGAAUAACUUAAUUCUUGCAUUUUUUUUCUUCAAUUGAAUCACAAUCAAAUAUUACUGGAAGUUCCUCAGCUUCUGUUUCAAGACAGCAAGAAAUUUCUGACAAAUUGAAGUUUGGAAUCCUAACUGUUAACCCAACACAUAAACUGGUCACACCAGGGUCUUUUAAGUUGAAAUUUCUUUCCUUUAUUCUUAGGGUAUUAGCAACUUCUCCUCAUGUCACUUAUAUUAUCUGGCAUGUUGUAUCAACAGUGAACAUAGUUCAAAUGAAGUGACAAAAUGUGAACAACUGUGACCCAGUUUGUGCACAUGGGAAGGGAGCACGAAGCCCUUGCUGCUGCCUGGCAGGUGCAGAUUAUAAAAUGCAUCUUGAUUUCAGAAAUGUAAUAAGUGCUAAAGCUAGAAAAGUGAAUGAAGCAGGUACUGUCUCCACUCUUAAGGAGUUUACGCUUUAAUGAAGGAGAUGAACGUUAAUUAGAUAUGUAUAAAAGAAAUUACAUGAUAUAAGACUGUAAAGUAUCUUAACACAUAGAAAGCAAGUAAUACAUUUUUUGAUGAGCUGGGCAUAACGAAGUAUAGGAUGCUAUCAUAGCAAAAAAAUAUGUUAUAUAUUACCGAUAAUAUAUUAUAUAUUAAUAUGUUAUAUAUUACCGAGGAUAACUUUUCAGCUGCCAUAACAUUGAUUGAAAAAAUAAAAAUAAGAAUGCUAUUCUUUUCUCA